rnacentral:rRNA from 2 species
CUGAGUGGCGAACUGGUGAGUAACACGUGGGGAAUCUGCCCAGAAGCAGGGGAUAACACUUGGAAACAGGUGCUAAUACCGUAUAACAACAAAAUCCGCAUGGAUUUUGUUUGAAAGGAGGCUUCGGGUAUCACUUCUGGAUGAUCCCGCGGCGUAUUAAUUAGUUGGUGAGGUAAAGGCCCACCAAGACGAUGAUACGUAGCCGACCUGAGAGGGUAAUCGGCCCCAUUGGGACUGAGACACGGGCCCAACUCCUACGGGAGGCAGCAGUAGGGAAUCUUCCACAAUGGACGAAAAGUCUGAUGGAGCAAUGCCGCGUGAGUGAAGAAGGGUUUCGGCUCGUAAAACUCUGUUUGUUAAAGAAGAACACCUUUGAGAGUAACUGUUCAGGGGUUGACGGUAUUUAACCAGAAAGCCUCUUGUUUACUACGUGCCAGCAGCCGCGGUAAUAACGUAGGUGGCAAGCGUUGUCCGGAUUUAUUGGGCGUAAAGCGAGCGCAGG